AAAGGAAUUGACGGGGGCCCGCACAAGCGGAGGAACAUGUGGUUUAAUUCGAUGAUACGCGAGGAACCUUACCCGGGCUCAAACGCAAGGCGCUACACCCUGAAAGGGGUGGUUCUUCGGACGUCUUGCGGGGUGCUGCAUGGUUGUCGUCAGCUCGUGCCGUGAGGUGUCGGCUUAAGUGCCAUAACGAGCGCAACCCCCAUCUUCAGUUGCCAUCGGUUGAAGCCGGGCACUCUGGAGAGACGCAGGCGCAAGCUGUGAGGAAAGGCGGGGAUGACGUCAAAUCAGCACGGCCUUACGUCCGGGGCGACACACGUGUUACAAUGGCGGGGUGACAGCGGGAAGCCAGGCGGCGACGCCGAGCCGAUCCCGAAAACCCGUCUCAGUUCGGAUCGGAGUCUGCAACCCGACUCCGGAAGCCGGCCGCCU
rnacentral:rRNA from 1 species